AUUGAACGCUGGCGGUAUGCUUAACACAUGCAAGUCGAACGAUGAGAAAGAGCUUGCUCUUUCGAUUAGUGGCGGACGGGUGCGUAACGCGUAGGAAUCUACCUAUUAGUGGGGGACAACUUAGGGAAACUUAAGCUAAUACCGCAUACGCCCUACGGGGGAAAGAAGGGGAUCGCAAGACCUUUUGCUAAUAGAUGAGCCUUCGUAGGAUUAGCUAGUUGGUGGGGUAAAAGCUCACCAAGGCGACGAUCCUUAACUGGUUUGAGAGAAUGAUCAGUCACAAUGGAACUGAGACACGGUCCAGACUCCUACGGGAGGCAGCAGUGGGGAAUAUUGGACAAUGGGCGAAAGCCUGAUCCAGCAAUACCGCGUGUGUGAAGAAGGCCUUAGGGUUGUAAAGCACUUUCAAUUGGAAGGAAAACCUCGAAGCUAAUACCUUCGAGUUUGACAUUACCUUUAGAAGAAGCACCGGCUAACUCCGUGCCAGCCGCCGCCGUAACAC
rnacentral:rRNA from 1 species